rnacentral:rRNA from 1 species
AUUGAACGCUGGCGGCAGGCCUAACACAUGCAAGUCGAGCGGUAGCACAGGGAGCUUGCUCCUGGGUGACGAGCGGCGGACGGGUGAGUAAUGUCUGGGAAACUGCCUGAUGGAGGGGGAUAACUACUGGAAACGGUAGCUAAUACCGCAUAACGUCGCAAGACCAAAGAGGGGGACCUUCGGGCCUCUUGCCAUCAGAUGUGCCCAGAUGGGAUUAGCUAGUAGGUGGGGUAACGGCUCGCCUAGGCGACGAUCCCUAGCUGGUCUGAGAGGAUGACCAGCCACACUGGAACUGAGACACGGUCCAGACUCCUACGGGAGGCAGCAGUGGGGAAUAUUGCACAAUGGGCGCAAGCCUGAUGCAGCCAUGCCGCGUGUAUGAAGAAGGCCUUCGGGUUGUAAAGUACUUUCAGCGGGGAGGAAGGCGAUAAGGUUAAUAACCUUGUCGAUUGACGUUACCCGCAGAAGAAGCUCCGGCUAACUCCGUGCCAGCCGCCGCGGUAA